UUCCAUAACUCCCCAGUCAUGUAUCAGCAAAAAGCAGAGCUAGGGCUUCUUAUCCUCCAGGGUCACUCAUGAUUCCUGUAUCACCAGUUCCAUUCACGCAUCAGUCUGAAGAGAGAUCCACUGAGGCCUAGUUCUAAACCUGUGUUGUCCAAAGGAGUCCCCUCUGAUCACACAUGGCAACUGAGAAUUUGAAAUAUGGCUAGUCCAAAUUAAAGUAUGCUCUAAGUGUAUGAAAGACAUACCAGAUUUUGAAGACUUAUACAAGAAAAAGAAUGUGAAAUAGCAUUAAUAAUUUUAUAUUGAUUACAUAUUAAAGUGUUAAUGUUUUAGAUAUAUUAGCUGAGUACAAUAUAUUUUAAUGUAAAUACUAGAAGAUUUAAAAUUAUACAUGUGACUUGCAUUUGUGGCCCAAGUUAUUAUUUUUUUUUCUGAGUUAUUUUUCUAUGAGGUAACACUGAAUUACAUAGUAAGAUUUGGAAGAAGGGAGGAAGAUGCCUCUCCUGUCUGAUAUCCUGUACCCCAAAGCAAUAUGGGAAGGACUGAGGAAUUUUCUUUUGUAUUUACCUACAUCUUAAUACCCAUUUUCAGGGAACAGGAAUGAGUGAGAAAUCAAUUCUGAAAAUGAUUCAUUCAGCAUGGCCAAAGAGAGACUAGGGGAAGCUGCAGCAUUGUAUUACAGAAGAAUCAUGUAACAAGGUCAGACCGGAAUCUGGCUUUGCCCUAGACUUACUUUUUGAUCUUAGCAAAACAACAACAAAAACCCCACCUAUCUUGGCCUUUUAGUGUUCUUAGUCUAUAGUAGAGAUAAUACCUCUGCCUUACUUUCGAAGGAUAAAUGAGAUGAUCCCUGUAAAAUGCUUUGAACUCCUUGAAGAAAAUUCUCAAUAACAGUUACAGGUCAAAUCCUGUUAUAAACAGACAUACACACACAUUUUAAAAAGGCUUUGUAAGAAAAUGAUUUCUAAACUCUAGGCAGUGGUUUAUUAAAAGCAAUAUCUACCACAUUUCGGUAUAACCAAAGAAUUUAGAGCAUCUUUUAAAGAUCAUUACAAAGAAAUUGACUUAUUCUUAGGUAUCAGACUGGUCAAAGGCUACCAAGAUAGGAACACUGCAAAUUGAGAAGGAAGUCUUCAUCAAUUCAAUGUUUGUUGUUGUUGUUGUUGUUGUUGUU
rnacentral:lncRNA from 1 species